rnacentral:lncRNA from 1 species
CCCCUUCCCUUUCACGAAUGUGACCUACCGAAUUAGACUAUUUACCGGAUUUGUAAUCACAUAAGCAACACGACGGGUGCCACAUGUGGAGCAGGAUCUGCUUACCCUUCCGGAGCACCUGAGAUCACCCCUAGUUUUUGGUGGGGUUCGUGUUGUUUAUUCUUUAGUUUUCUAUGUUGUGUCAUAUGUACUAUUGUUUUUC